rnacentral:rRNA from 1 species
AUUGAACGCUGGCGGCAGGCCUAACACAUGCAAGUAGAACGAGUGGGGGACGGGUGAGUGAUGUCUGGGAAAAUGCCUGAUGGAGGGGGAAGACGACUGGAAACGGUAGCUAAUACCGCAUACUAUCAGAUGUGCGCAGAUGGGAUUAGCUUGGUGGUGGGGUAUAGGCGGUCCAAGACGACGAUCCCUAGCCGGUCUGAGAGGAUGACGAGCCACACUGGAACUGAGACACGGUCCAGACUCCUACGGGAGGCAGCAGUGGGGAAUAUUGGACAAUGGGCGAAAGCCGGAUACAGCCAUGCCGCGGGUAUGAAGAAGGCCUUCGGGUUGGAAAGUACUUUCAGCAGGGAGGCGUUACCCGCAGAAGAAGCACCGGCUAACUCCGUGCCAGCAGCCGCGGUAAUUC